ACAAUUAAACAUGUAAAUAUUGCUGAAUACUGAAGUUAAAGCUCCAGUAUUUUGGUCAUCUGAUGCAAACAGACGACUCAUUGGAAAAGACCCUGAUGCUGGGAAAAAUUGAGGGCAGAAGAAGAGGAUAUCAGAGGAUGAGAUGGCUGGAUGGCAUCACUGGUGCAAUGAACAUGAACUUGGGCAAACUCCAGAGAUGGUGAGGGACAGGGAGGCCUGGUGUGCUGCAGCCCAUGGAGUCCCAGAGUCGGACACAACUGGGUGACUGAACAACAGCAACGAUAAAUGUAUAAAUACAGCCUUUAAUAAGACAUGGAUCGACGAAUUUGAAAACAGGGAGCAUUCUUUUUUUUUUGUCUAGAAAGUUCCCCAGGAUCAUAGUAACUAAAGCGCCAUGAAGACAGAGCAAAUCCAAACUAAAUAUUGCCACCUACAAGGAUUUGAUCCAAUUUCUAACUUGCUGAAAACACUUGACAAUGUACUAUUUAUCUCCAUGUUUGUUUAUUCCACAGGCUGUUAAAUUAGAUUUGCAAUGCGAUCAUGAUAGCAGAAAGGCAUGUUCAUUUGGUGUUUGCUGAAAAGAAAAAAUUCAACAGUAAUUAGCAUGCGGUAAUUACCAAGUAAUACUGGAAAUUCUAUAGGUUUGUAUUGAAAACCGAAACUGAAUCCCAGAGGCUGGAACACAGGAAGGAGGACCAUUUGGAAGCAGGCCUCAAAACGAGAACACAUCUCACUGGCAAUGCGUCCAUGGACUUACGAAGGCGAGCCAAUGGGAUGCAUGGAGGACAGAAUGACUUGGUUGAAAUAUGGGGGUGGAAUUUGGGAUGAAGCAUCAGAGGAAAGGAUCUACGCCAGCUUCCUGGGUCCUCCUUCUCAUAAAAGGAAUUGUUUAAACUACCAAUGUCGUAUGACACUUCCCGUGUAGAUCACUGACAAUUUUUUAACAUUGGCAAAGGGCUAUGCUUCACUUGUUUCCAGAAUUUGACCCUUUCUCACCUCCUCUGCUGUCCCCUCCCAGGUCCAAGCCACCUGGUCUUCUCACCUGAAUGAGGAGCCUGGCAGGCUACAGUCCAUAGGGUUGCGGAGAGUCAGACACGACAGAGCACAGCGGCAGACAAGAUAAUUAGCAGUGUUUCUACUUGGACACACCCUCUCCCCACUUACUCUCUUUACCUCCCUGUGUCUCCCCUUCCCCCUCAGCCUUCUGCUCCUUUCCCGCUACAUCCGCUCUUUUUAUCCCUUCACACUGUUCACUAUUCACUUACCUUCUCUCACAAGACUCCUGUGGCCACACCCAAAGUAAGUCCAAGUCCUGCAACUAGCAAGACCUGUCCGUGUAGCUCAUCACAGCACACUAGCUCAGGCCUUCAAGUCUGAACUCUUGAGACGCAGCAGCUGAUUGGGCCAGGUGUGUGGGGCGUCCACCUGAUUUAAUCACUUGUGGCCGGAGGAGGAGGGGCAAGAUCAUACCUGUGUUGGUCUGUGGCUUCUAGGGCUGUGAAAGUUUCUUUAAAUUAGGACAGUGGUACCUCUGGUGGGAGAAGGGAGGAGAGGUACCCAAGUGUCUGCAACUACUUUAGUUCGGGUUUAUUUCUUAAAUUCUGUGUUGGGUUCCCUGGUGUUAAACAUUCUUUUUCACACUAUUUUGAAUGUCUGAAAUCCUUCUUGAAAGUUUCCAAAUGAAAAGAAAAUUGCACUUCUUGAAAUUAAAAGGAAGAAAAUGUGAAUAAAAUUGCAUGUAUAUGGAC
ensembl:lncRNA